UUGAAAUCCUUUGGAUGCUGCUGGCCCCUCGGGGCAUGUGCACUCCUGCCUUUUCAUCUCACCUGUGAACUUAUUGUAGACCAGGUUUUAACAAACCUGUGUCUAUGUUAUCUUUACACACACACACAAGUUUAUCAGAAUGUCUCCAAGACCUUGAAUGGUCAAAAAAGUUAAUA
rnacentral:misc_RNA from 1 species